GACGAACGCUGGCGGCGUGCUUAACACAUGCAAGUCGAACGGAAAGGCCCCUUUGGGGGUACUCGAGUGGCGAACGGGUGCGUAACACGUGAGUAACCUGCCCUUGACUUCGGGAUAACUUCAGGAAACUGGGGCUAAUACCGGAUAGGAAUCCUUGCUGCAUGGUGGGGGUUGGAAAGCUUCGGCGGUUUUGGAUGGACUCGCGGCUUAUCAGCUUGUUGGUGGGGUAGUGGCUUACCAAGGCUUUGACGGGUAGCCGGCCUGAGAGGGCGACCGGCCACAUUGGGACUGAGAUACGGCCCAGACUCCUACGGGAGGCAGCAGUGGGGAAUAUUGCACAAUGGGCGGAAGCCGGAUGCAGCAACGCCGCGUGGGAUGACGGCCUUCGGGUUGUAAACCGCUUUCAGCAGGGGCGAAGCUUGUGGUGACGGUACCUGCAGAAGAAGCACCGGCUAACUACGUG
rnacentral:rRNA from 1 species